UAGGGAAUCUUCCACAAUGGACGCAAGUCUGAUGGAGCAACGCCGCGUGAGUGAAGAAGGUUUUCGGAUCGUAAAGCUCUGUUGUUGGUGAAGAAGGAUAGAGGUAGUAACUGGCCUUUAUUUGACGGUAAUCAACCAGAAAGUCACGGCUAACUACGUGCCAGCAGCCGCGGUAAUACGUAGGUGGCAAGCGUUGUCCGGAUUUAUUGGGCGUAAAGCGAGCGCAGGCGGAAGAAUAAGUCUGAUGUAAAAGCCCUCGGCUUAACCGAGGAACUGCAUCGGAAACUGUUUUUCUUGAGUGCAGAAGAGGAGAGUGGAAUUCCAUGUGUAGCGGUGGAAUGCGUAGAUAUAUGGAAGAACACCAGUGGCGAAGGCGACUCUCUGGUCUGCAACUGACGCUGAGGCUCGAAAGCAUGGGUAGCGAACAGG
rnacentral:rRNA from 1 species